rnacentral:rRNA from 1 species
GAGAAGCGAAGCGGUGACGUGGAGCAAACCUCAGAAAGCCAAUCUCAGUUCGGAUUGUAGGCCGCAACUCGCCUACAUGAAGUUGGAAUCGCUAGUAAUCGCGAAUCAGAAUGUCGCGGUGAAUACGUUCCCGGGUCUUGUACACACCGCCCGUCACACCACGAGAGUUUACAACACCCGAAGUCAGUGGCCUAACCGCAAGGAGGGAGCUGCCUAAGGUGGGGUAGAUGAUUGGGGUGAAGUCGUAACAAGGUAUC